AAGCUGGCCUGGGUUGUUUGUA
rnacentral:siRNA from 1 species